rnacentral:rRNA from 1 species
GUUGUAUAGUCAAGUAAUUAAGUGCAUGUGGUGGAUGCCUUGGCAGUCAGAGGCGAUGAAAGACGUGAUAGCCUGCGAAAAGCUCCGGGGAGGCGGACAAAUAUCCUUUGAUCCGGAGAUGUCUGAAUGGGGGAACCCACCUACUUUAAGGUAGGUAUUGCAACAUGAAUACAUAGUGUUGCAAGGCGAACGAGGGGAAGUGAAACAUCU